rnacentral:lncRNA from 1 species
UCACUGCCUCUCGAACUCUCUCUGUGGUUCUCUUCUGUUCUCUCUACUGCACUCUUUCUUUUAGCCCAUUUAUGAUGAAAACUUACCAGUCAUGUGUAGAUCUUAAGUGAUUGAUGUAUAGGCUUUGAUCCUUCAUUCUUGAGUGAAUGUUGUUAUGAUUUGUGAGGCUUAUUUUUGGAAAAUCUUACGUGACUUCCACUGAGUGCCAAGAGAUCUAUACUGGACCGUUCGAUUGUUGAUGAUUUUAGUGAUAUAGUGAUUUUCUUCCUAUUUGACGGAAGCUCAAAAGAGGAUUAGGAACUCUGAUUCUGAACCUCUUGUCUUAGGGCGAAAAAUCUUGUGUUCAUCUUUAUUUUUCUGCGUUUUCUUUCCAUUUUAUUUUACGGUUAGUAUUUACGAUAUUUGUUGUUGAUUAAAACUCGCUAUUUUUUUGGUGAACUUCGCGUUACAACCUCAUAUGUAAUCAGGGAGGUCCCGGGCAGUAAAAGAACAAAUAUUACUGGGCAUGAAGAUAAAAGACUCUUGAAAUGAUAUAUGAUACGUCAUUUCUUUUCCCGUUAUUAUUAACUGCAGGAGCACGCGACGUGAUGAUUUAAUUGCCUAUGUAGUUAUUAUUAUCAUUAAUUUUAGCGACUGUAUAGUUUAUUUAUAUUUUGUAAAAUAUUUUAGUGGAUACAGUUUUUUUUUUUUUUUUUUUUUUUUUUGGAUAUUCAAUGCAAUUAUGUUGCAUAAACGAACACACACAUCAUGAAAUUUGCAGCUAGCUGAUUCAAUGCACUAUUAAGCUGCAAAGAGUGUCUGAUUUACUAAUCGUAGCUCUGUUUGUCUUCUCUCCGUCUUUUUCACAUUUUUCUUUAUUCAAAUGUUGCGUGCUAUCACUUUUUCUUACUACAGGCAACUUUAAUCGUUUCUUGGCUGUUAAACUGAUU